rnacentral:lncRNA from 1 species
CUUCACACAUGCUCACUCUCUCCUGCUGCCAUGUGGGAAGGUCCAAGCUUGCUUACCCUUUGCCUUCUGCCAUGAUUGUAAGUUUCCUGAGGACUCCCUAGCCAUGCAGAACUGCAAAUGGAGAACCUGCUCUCUGGGAGAAAAGUCAAAUCGGUCCCACGGCUCUCUUCUCCCACUAAGAACAACUGGUUCCUUCCUUCAGAAGAAGAUGUGUUAUUCCCACCAGUAGUGGUGAGCGCCUGGAUUCCAAAAGGGUUAAGAAUUCGGAGAUGUGACCUGCCUCAUUCUGAAGAACGUGGCCCAGCAUGUGUAUGAAGCAAUUAAUUGCUCCACAAACCCUGAAAAUUUGAUCACUGGCCAGAGUAACGCUGAGGAGCCAUCCUGUCUUCUGCUUGAGUGUCUUCACUCUGGGGAUUCUGGCAGGCUGGUUUCCUGGCCAGAUGCUUCUCAUCCACACCUGUGGACCUCAGGAAACCAAAGAUUGACAACUGAAAACCCCAUAGCCUCAAGUUCCCCUGAUGGCCGGAGUCCUCCUCACCUAAGUGCUCAGCAGGCAGAACUGUCACACUGCGCACCUGGGACCUGACUGGAAGCAAAGAGAAGCUAUUCUUCAGAACCCAGCAAAACACCUUCCUUGGACUUUAUAGGCACCUCAGUGUUUGCUGACUGAGCCAGGCAACUGAUCAACAUAUUUCAUUAUUUUCCUGAAGAAUUACCACUACCCUUUGAGGUGAACCCCUAAGCUGGGAUGCUCCUUCUGUGACUUGCCUGCCUGCCACUGUUACCUGCAAGGAUGCUGUGAUGACAUGGGGCCCACCUGGAUAAUCCAGGACACUCUUCCCACCUCACAGUCAGCUGGGAAGGAAACAGCCUCAAAGGGAACCAAUGCUUUGCCCAAGGACACUUGGCACUAAAGCGGAAAAACUGGCCCCAAACCCAGAUUUUCUCAAGUCCAGCACUUUCUGCACCGUGUGUUGGGCCUCAAUUUCAAAGAUGACAAAGCUUCAGGACCUGUUUCAGUUUUGUCUUACGAAUGGAUUUGGCAAAGAAGGCAGUACAGUUAAUCCUGGCUGCAACUGCUGGAAAAUUUGCUACACCCUCCUCAGUGCUAGCUGUGUAUUGAAUUUGGAACCUCAAACAAAGCUUGAUAGAAGGAAGACAAAAAAGCUUCCGUUUACAUUCCAUUUUGGUUCCCCAUUUGACUUCAAAGAAAGGAAAGAGAAGGAGGAAAUUCACAUUUUUGUCAUUGUUACAGUCACUUUAAUUAUGCAACGUUUUGUUAUGAAACACAGUUUUCUUUUUAUGAAAUAGUGCAGCCCUUUGGAAGCAGUGAAAAUGCUAAGUUCAGAAAAAUUUUACAUGGCACACCAUUGAUCUGCAUGAUGAUAGAAGGAUAAUUAAGAUGCUGUAUCUUAAUUAUCUGGUAGCAGAAAUAUGAGUCUCCUAGUCUCAAGACUUCAAACAGUAAGCAGUGGACUGUACAAGAUCACGAGGCAGUCAUCCCCUCUCUGCUCUGUUCCCUCUCCUCUACAAUCCUUGGAGAAAGCUGUAUAGGUUGGGUUGUCCUCAAAACCUUAGACAUAUGUGAAAUACACAGGAUUUUGGAAA